UACGUAGGGGCCUAGCGUUGUCCGGAAUUAUUGGGCGUAAAGAGCUCGUAGGCGGUUCGGCAAGUCGGAUGUGAAAUCUCCACGCUUAACGUGGAGGGGCCAUUCGAAACUGCUGUGACUCGAGUCCGGUAGGGGAGUGUGGAAUUCCCGGUGUAGCGGUGAAAUGCGCAGAUAUCGGGAGGAACACGAGUAGCGAAGGCGGCACUCUGGGCCGGUACUGACGCUGAGGAGCGAAAGCGUGGGGAGCGAACAGG
rnacentral:rRNA from 1 species